rnacentral:rRNA from 1 species
AUUGAACGCUAGCGGGAUGCUUUACACAUGCAAGUCGAACGAGUGGCGGACUGGUGAGUAAUAUAUCGGAACGUGCCCAGUCGCGGGGGAUAACUACUCGAAAGAGUGGCUAAUACCGCAUACUAUGGGAUGCGCCCAUAUCGGAUUAGCUAGUGGGUGGGGUAAAGGCUCACCAAGGCAACGAUCCGUAGCAGGUGUGAGAGGCCGACCAGCGCGACUGUGACUGUGACAAGGCCCAGACUCCUACGUGAGGCAGCAGUGGGGAAUUUUGGACAAUGGGGGAAACCCUGAUCCAGCCAUGCGGCGUGUAUGAGAAGGCCUUCGGGUUGUAAAGUACUUUUGGCAGAGAAGCGGUAUCUGCAGAAUAAGCACCGGCUAACUACGUGCCAGCAGCCGCGGUAAUUC